rnacentral:misc_RNA from 1 species
AAGUCGUAACAAGGUUUCCGUAGGUGAACCUGCGGAAGGAUCAUUAAUGAAUUAUCUGACGGGGUUGUCGCUGGCCUACCAAGGCAUGUGCACGCUCUGAUCAUAUUCAUCCAUUCUUCACCCCUGUGCACUCUUCAUAGGUUGGCUUAUUCUAAAGGAUCAUCUUCGGGUGGUCUGGGCCUUUCUAUGCCAUUUAUUAUAAACAUAAUGUCUUUGAAUGUCUUAUUGCGAAUAUAACGCAUUGAAAUAUAACUUUCAGCAACGGAUCUCUUGGCUCUC